rnacentral:rRNA from 1 species
CAGUCGCCGCGGUAAUACGAAGGGGGCUAGCGUUGCUCGGAAUGACUGGGCGUAAAGGGCGCGUAGGCGGUUUUGACAGUCAGAUGUGAAAUUCCUGGGCUUAACCUGGGGGCUGCAUUUGAGACGUCAAGACUAGAGUGUGAGAGAGGGUUGUGGAAUUCCCAGUGUAGAGGUGAAAUUCGUAGAGAUCAAGAGGAACACCUGAGGCGAAGGCGGGUUGCUGGGCCGACACUGACGCUGAUGCGCGAAAGCCAGGGGAGCAAACGGGAUUAGAUACCCCCGUAGUCCCUGUCUCUUAUAC